rnacentral:lncRNA from 1 species
GGGGACCUCUCCCCAAUUCUGUAAGCCCAUGAGGAGAGAGGAAGGCCUUUCUCUCCAUGCUUCUUUUGCGGGAACUCCCUGGCACCAAGGCCAGGGGGGAAAGGACAGUCUCUGAUGAGGAUGGGUCUCUAGACUGCUCUGAGUGCUGUCCCUGCACUGAAGAAGUUAUAGUUCCCUCCCAGGCGGCCCCCCUCCCUGCCCCUCAGCUCAGCCUCAAUCAAGAAGUUCCCCAUCUUUGAUCACCACUCCAAGUAGGAGAAACCGGCCCAGGGCUGCCUUAGAGCCGAGAACAGUGAGCUGGCCAUGACGGAGGAGGUAUGGAUGGGUACCUGGAGGCCCCAUCGCCCCCGGGGACCCAUCAUGGCCCUCUACAGCAGCCCUGGACCCAAGUACCUGAUUCCACCAACAACAGGCUUCAUGAAGCACACGCCCACCAAGCUGCGUGCACCGGCCUACAGCUUCCGUGGGGCCCCCAUGCUCCUGGCAGAGAACUGCUCCCCAGGGCCCCGUUACAAUGUAAACCCCAAGAUACUGAGGACUGGCAAGGACCUUGGCCCUGCCUACUCCAUCCUGGGGCGCUACCAAACCAAGACCAUGCGAA